UUUGUUGUUGAUAGUAGCUUCAUAACUGAAGCUGAAAGGAAAUCAUCUGGGCUGUAUCCCAGGUCAUCAGAGUAGGAAAAGUGUAAGUAGAAUAAGAAUGCUAGAGUUUGGAACUAGAAAAGUUUGGAGAUGGAAUAUUCCAGCAUUUAUUAUGGAAUAGGUACUUCCUGGUGGGUGGGGAGCAGAGUUUAAUUCAGUUCUUGCAACUAGAACAUAGUUAAAAGCUUUUGAUCUUUGUGCCAUGCAGAUACGUAUCUCAUCAUUUGGCGAAAUUUCAGUUCUUCAGUCUCAUAUACAAUAAGCUAAAAACUGGAAUCUUUAUUAUAUUCAGAUAGUGGAAGAAGUGUUAGUCCUUUGAAUUCCUACCCACCCAUUUCUACCUUUAGAGACUACAGGAGGCCACUGCAGGCAUGUCCACUGUUGAUCCCCAUCAGUUUGUUUUACUUCCCUAGUUUCUCCCCACGUCCAUUUGC
rnacentral:lncRNA from 1 species